rnacentral:rRNA from 1 species
AACCCGAGUACAUGAAGCUGGAAUCGCUAGUAAUCGCGAAUCAGAAUGUCGCGGUGAAUACGUUCCCGGGUCUUGUACACACCGCCCGUCACACCAUGGGAGAUGGAUAUGCCCAAAGUCAGUGACCUAACCGCAAGGGAGGAGCUGCCUAAGGUGGAGCCAUUAACUGGGGUGAAGUCGUAACAAGGUACC